NNGAUUAGCAUGGCCCCUGCGGGGAGGAUGACAGGCAAAUUGGUGAAGCAUUCCAUAUUUUC
rnacentral:snRNA from 1 species